rnacentral:rRNA from 1 species
GGUUACCUACGGGGCGCAGCAGUAGGGAAUCUUUCACAAUGGGCGAAAGCCUGAUGGAGCAACGCCGCGUGCAGGAUGAAGGCCUUCGGGUUGUAAACUGCUUUUAUAAGCGAGAAAUAUGAUGGUAACUUAUGAAUAAGGAUCGGCUAACUACGUGCCAGCAGCCGCGGUCAUACGUAGGAUCGGAGCAUUAUCCGUAGUGACUGGGUGUAAAGAGUUGCGUAGGUGGCAUAAUAAGUAGCUAGU